UUUGAAAACCUUUGGAAUUCUCUCUUUGUAGUCAUUAUUCUAAGUUUUCAGAGAGAGAUAUCUUUUAAAAAAAAUCCGUAUCGCUGACUCCUCAGUGGGUUCUGUCCACCUAAAGAUGCCAUGUGCUUUCGUUGUAGAGUCUCUCUCUGAGUUUUUGCUAUUCUCUCUUUCUCAGACUCUUGUUCAGGUGGUGGCUCUCCUGACUGCUGCUGUCUGAACACCCUCAGGGAGUUUCCCACUCCAGAUUCUCCAGAAGAAAACUGAACUUGCCCAACCAGCUCGAGUGGAGACAAGUCAAAUGAGUCAUGAGCUGCCACCCAGUUUCCUUCAGCUUCACUCCAUUUGCUCAGCUCUGGGUCAUGGGACAGAGGGGUACUCCUGAGAGGCAUUUGGGGCCAGGCUUGUUUCAUUCAGACAGAGCUACUUGGAAAUAUUCUUUGCUGUCAAAUCUUUGGUCAAGUAAUAGAUUCUGGGCUAGAAUUUUUUUUUUUUUUUGCCAAGUAAGUUGUAAAAAUAUUUUAAAUAUGAUAUACCUAUACAUUUCUCUUUAGAUGAACAUUCCAGAUGGAUCAAAGAUUUAAGUGCAGAAAGCAAGAAAGAACAAGAGAGAAAAGCAUCAGUAUGCCAGAGGAAAACAUGGGUGAAUAUUUUAUAACCAUGGUGUUGGAAAGGUCUUAAUAUGACUUGAUAAUGCUAUCAGGGAGCAUAAAGGAAAAGAAUAAUAAAUUUAAAUGUAUAAACAUUAGAAACAUCUAUGUUGAAAAAAUUCAUUAAAAAUGUAGAAAAUGACUAUAGGAAAUUUUGCAUUUCUUGACAAGCAGUUAUAUCCUGAAGAUAUGAAGAAUGCUCAAUCAAUAAGGAAGAUUAUAUAGAGGAAUUGAUAAAGCAACGUAGCAGUUUCAUCAAACAGAAAAAUACAGAGACAGCACGAAUGCGAAAAGACAUUCAACUUCAUAAUAAUAAGAGAAAUGUAAUGGAAAGCAAAACAUGUUUUGUUGCUGAAGAUUAAAAUGUGUGAAGAAAAGGUCUUGUCAGAGAGGGAGACAGGCUCUGUGUUUAAUGUUGGUGGGAAUGGAUUUGAGGUAAGGAAUAAUAAAUCAAGUAUGAAAACACAUGCACAUAGAUGAUCAACUUGGUGGUAUCUGAAAAUGAGUGAGAAAAUGAAAAUGAUUCAGACUGAAAGGAGUUAAGCAUUGAAAGAGGAAAAGCUGGCACAUGCAAGAAAUGGAUUCCUGUGUAGUCAUUAGAAGUGAUGAUGUUAAUCCAUAUUUACUGGCAUGAAAAGACAUCUACCCUACAUGGUGAGUGAACAAAGCAGUUCAUAAGGUACAAGUUCAAAAUGAGCCUAUUAAUAUGUAACCUAGAUGAGUUUCCGUGAAAUUACGUGUCUCUAGAAUGUAAGUUCCAUGCAGACAGGGCCCACAUUUUCUUCACUGCUCUGCUCCUAGAGGCUAUGUCUGUGCCUGGUACUUUGCAGCCGUGCAGUAAUGUUUGUUGAAUGAAUGAAUGAAAGAGGUUUACAAGGUUCUUUGUGCUUAGGGGGCUCAGUCGCUCAGUCCUGUCUGACUCUUUACAAUCCAAUGGACUAUAGCCUGCCAGGCUCCUCUGUUCUUGAGAUUUCCCAGGCAAGAAUACUAGAGUGGGCUGCUAUCUCCUAGUUCAGGGGAUUUUCUCAGCUCAGGUAUCGAACCCAUGUCUCUUGUGUCUCCCACACUGGCAGGCAGAUUUUACCACUGCACCACCUGGGAAGCUCCAGAAGUUUAACAUGGAGGAGUGUUGGUGAUUUUUUUCUGUGCUCUCAGCAUUUUCUCUGUCAUCUGAGUUGCCUUCAAAAUAUUUAUUUUUUACCAAAAACAGACAGGAUAUUAAAAACAUAUGGUAAUGCC